UUCAGCACCAUGUACAAAAUCCCUUAACAUUGUGAAAUGUUAAUACGUAGCAGGAAAAGGCAUUUACUUUAGGAAUGCCAAAGAUAACCUUCCAUUGCGCAUCUCUACUCAAACAUGUUCCAGUUACUAGUUCCAUUAUCAAUGCACAAAUAGUGAAAUGGCUUAUGCACAUCUAUUGCAAUGGAAAAUUAAAUGGAACAUCUUUGAUUGGAGAUGCCCAGGCUUUCAGAAGUUUGCCAAUGUACCAGGGCAGGUUGUAAAUGAGGUUUAUAUUUUUGUAUUUUAACAUUAUAGAAAGCCAAAAGAAGGGACAGGAUAAUUAUUCAUACUAACCACAAAAGCCUUG
rnacentral:misc_RNA from 1 species